UGGAAGUAAAAAAAUCGUAACAAGGUAACCAUUGGUGAACCAGCGGAGGGAUCAUUACCGAGUUAUUCAACUCAUCAACCCUGUGAACUUACCUAAACGUUGCUUCGGCGGGAAUAGACGGCCCCGUAAAACGGGCCGCCCCCGCCAGAGGACCCUUAACUCUGUUUCUUAUAGUGCUUCUUCUGAGUAAAACAAGCAAAUAAAUUAAAACUUUCAACAACGGAUCUCUUGGCUCUGGCAUCGAUGAAGAACGCAGCGAAAUGCGAUAAGUAAUGUGAAUUGCAGAAUUCAGUGAAUCAUCGAAUCUUUGAACGCACAUUGCGCCCGCCAGUAUUCUGGCGGGCAUGCCUGUUCGAGCGUCAUUACAACCCUCAGGCCCCCGGGCCUGGCGUUGGGGAUCGGCGGAGCCCCCCGUGGGCACACGCCGUCCCCCAAAUACAGUGGCGGUCCCGCCGCAGCUUCCAUCGCGUAGUAGCUAACACCUCGCGACUGGAGAGCGGCGCGGCCACGCCGUAAAACACCCAACUCUUCUGAAGUGACCUCGAAUCAGUAGCUGCCCCGGC
rnacentral:rRNA from 1 species